UACAGAGGGUGCAAGCGUUGCUCGGAAUCAUUGGGCGUAAAGGGCAAGUAGGUGGUCUCAUUUGUCUUGUGUGAAAUCCUUGGGCUUAACCCAAGAAGUGCGCAAGAAACGGUGAGACUCGAGUUCUGGAGAGGGUCGUGGAAUUCCUGGUGUAGCGGUGAAAUGCGCAGAUAUCAGGAGGAACACCGGUGGCGAAGGCGGGUCUCUGGGCCGGAACUGACGCUGGAGGAGCGAAAGCGUGGGUAGCAAACAGG
rnacentral:rRNA from 1 species